GCACAAGCAGCGGAGCGUGUGGUUUAAUUCGAGGCUACACGAAGAACCUUACCAGGGUUUGACAUGCAAGUGGUAGGAAUCCGAAAGGUGACCGACCUUCGGGAGCUUGCACAGGUGCUGCAUGGCUGUCGUCAGCUCGUGUCGUGAGAUGUUCGGUUAAGUCCGCUAACGAGCGCAACCCUCGUCGUGUGUUAUACGUGUCACACGAUACUGCCGGUAUCAAGCCGGAGGAAGGUGGGAUGAUGUCAAGUCAGCAUGGCCUUUAUAUCCUGGGCUACACACACGCUACAAUGGCAGAUACAAUAGGUUGCGAAACCGCGAGGUGGAGCCAAUCCUCAAAGUCUGUCUCAGUUCAGAUUGUAGGCUGCAACUCGCCUGUAUGAAGUUGGAGUUGCUAGUAAACGCAGGUCAGCUAUACUGCGUUGAAUACGUUCCCGGGGUUU
rnacentral:rRNA from 1 species